CACGUAGGGCGCAAGCGUUGUCCGGAAUUAUUGGGCGUAAAGAGCUCGUAGGCGGUGUGUCACGUCGUUCGUGAAAACCUGCAGCUUAACUGUGGGCGUGCGGUCGAUACGGGCAUCACUGGAGUUCGGCAGGGGAGACUGGAAUUCCUGGUGUAGCGGUGAAAUGCGCAGAUAUCAGGAGGAACACCGGUGGCGAAGGCGGGUCUCUGGGCCGAUUCUGACACUGAGGAGCGAAAGCGUGGGGAGCGAACAGG
rnacentral:rRNA from 1 species